GGCUCUCGUCUCCUGAGGGACACGACAACAGAAUAUAUUGUUUAUUGUCUGCUUAAUAUCGAAGGGGUACAUGUGUUUAUAUAGGAGGACAGCCUCCACUAAACCCUAGAUAACUUGGACGCUAACUUGGACUCUAAUAUAACUUGGACUCUAAGAUGGGUAAGAUAACUUGGGCUAAGCCCGUAAUUAACCCUGCCUAUUGGGCCUCCUCCGUUGGUACGUUGUACCGGUCAUAACAUCUCUCCCCGCCUUCUCAAACAGCUCGUCCUCAAGCUGAACAUGUGGAAACUGCUGGCGGAAAUCGUCGAGCUUCUCCCAAGUCGCUUCCUCCUCUG
rnacentral:lncRNA from 1 species